CCAGUGUCUAAGUGAAGCGGCCAGGGAUCUGAGAGCUAAGAGGCCAUUUCAAAGAGCAGUUUUCAGAUCUCAUCCCAACAAGAUGAAAAACAUUCUUCCCAGCCUCCUGGAUGCAGGCAAAGCUUCAUGCCCACAGUCUGCUGUGCAACUGGGCUGCAGCUGAGCCGGGGGAAAGAGCCAAACUAUCCAGGACCAAUUCAAGUUUUUCUGAGCGCUAGAAGCACAGAAGUAGACACUGCUGUCCCGCGCACCUGAACAGAUGAAGCUUGGAGCGACCCGCCCAAUUUAGCAAAUAACUUGGAAAACAUUUUUCUUAGUAAACAAAA